UACAGGGGGUGCAAACGUUGCUCGGAAUCAUUGGGCGUAAAGCGCACGUAGGCGGUUCGUUAUGUCGGAUGUGAAAGCCCUUGGCUUAACCGAGGAAGUGCAUCCGAAACUGGCGAGCUAGAGUACGAAAGAGGAUCGCGGAAUUCCCGGUGUAGAGGUGAAAUUCGUAGAUAUUCGGCGGAACACCAGUGGCGAAGGCGACUCACUGGCCCGAUACUGACGCUGAGGCGCGAAAUCGUGGGGAGCAAACAGG
rnacentral:rRNA from 1 species